GCAAUGUUUAAGCAACUCUGUGAGACAACAGGGAAGAUCUCUCAAGAGAAGAUUAAAGGCUUAUUCCAAAGUCAGUGUUACCCCGAUGGGGCGGUGCUGCUGGAAUCUGCUUCACUGGAAGGUCACUUCAAAAUGCAACAGCAGGGGUUUGAACUGGUGUGAAGGCCUUUGGAGAGAAGUCAGGACAAGGUACAAGGGCACCCGGUGGGCCUGGGGACAGCGAGCAGAGGUGGCAGAGACAUGGAAGGUACUGGGGCCUGGAACCUGCUGGGCGAGGGAAGCCAAGCCGCGACAGGUCGGGUUUGCCGGACGGACAGAAGAGCGGGGAGACUCUGUGACCGUUUCCUCAACUGCAAGAUGGGGAUAGCAGGCUUGACGUGAAGGUUAGCUGUGUGGGCUUGGCGCACACUAACACUCAGUAAGUAACAACUUUCCCGUGUCUUGGCCUCGUCAAGAAACUGACGAAAGGCAGGGACUUCUCCCCAGCAAAGGUUGGGGCCGGGACACGGGAAGCAGAGGAUGAGAAGAGGAAUUUGUCCACCUGGUUGUUUGACUCUUGCCCAAGGAAAGUGGAUCCACCAAGAGCACGAACAGACGCCCGACAGGAGGAGCCCCUGGUGAGCACCGUGUGACGGGUCUGCACGUGUCACACCCCCAGAAGGCCCGCUGUCGGGGUUUCACACCUCCUGAUCAGGUGAGAGUGUGUUCUGUCCGCUGACCUUGAACGUGGCCCAGGCCGCUCUCAGCGGCUCUGGUCCAGCCCUGAGGCAUCAUCCACUCACUCGGCAUCGGUGUGGAGCGGCUGUGCACACCGAGAGGCAAAGGCCCCUCACUGCCGACGCAUCCCCGUAGGUUCUUGUUGGCACCACAGCUCUUCUUUGCUCCCCGCCUGCCUGACCAACACCACGGUAGUCACCUCACAGACCAUGCGGCAGUUUUUUUUAAGUGAUGAAAAUAUCCAGAAAUGGUUUGUUACUGAGUUCCUUUUGCUUGACCCGCACAGCGUUCGCAGCUGCGGGGACACCCUCAGCCGGUGCUCCGCAAAUGCCCCUCCGUCAGUUCCGGAUCCCAGAGCUCCAGAGCGGAGCCUUGAGGGCCUUCAACAAAGCCUGAAGAGGUGGCCCUGAGGGGAGACGCAGCGGGAGACGCAGUGGGAGCCGCAGGGCGGCCAGGCUCGUCCCCACCAUGCUCAGAACUGUGGGACGGUCAGUAUUUGGAAGCUGCUGGAUUACUGCACGUGGCUCCCCGAUCCACUGCGGGAAUCCAAUCCCCUUCCUCCAGCCCUGAAGGGCGCACUUCACAGAGGUGCCCCAGGAAAUCGGCAAGCAGACGAGAGACUUCCACGAAGUAUCGGAACACCUGGAUAAUCACUUAAAGCAACCAAAAGCUGCCUCACGCCGCACACAGAAAUUAGCUCAAAGACACCAAAAUGUAAGUCUAAAUCCAUGAAACUUUUAGGAGAAAACAGGGGACCGUCUCUGAGACUCUCACAGGGAGAGAUUGUCCACACAUGCAGAGCAUUCGACAUAAAAGAAAAAAAUUAAUCAACCAGGCUCACUAAAAGGAAGAACGUUUGUUCUUCAAAGAGCACAGUUAAGAAAGCAGAAAGACCAGUCGGAGGCAGACGAGCCCAGCCCUGGGACCAAAGCCCUGAUUCCUGCGCACCCCUUACACCCACUGGGACGGUGGCUGUCGCAAAAGCAGGAAGUAGCAAGUGCUGGGGGACUGCAAAAUGGGGCAGCCAGCACGGAAAUGGUAUUCCCGUUCCUCACAAGAUUAAAACCAGAACUUCCGCCUGACCCAGCAAUUCUAGCUUCUGGGUGCUCUCGCUAAAGAACAGAAAGCAGGUCUCAAGGAGACGCCUGUGCCCCGUGUUCCUGCAGCGCCAUUCACACUGGCCCAGAGGUGGAAGCCAACAGGUGUCCCUCGACGGGUGAUGGGUGACAAACGUGGUCCCUCCCUACAAUGGAACAUCAGUCAGCCUUAAAGAGGAAGGAAAUUCUGACCCCUCCUGCAACACGGAUGGAGCUUGAGGACAUGUGCCCAGGGAAACGAGCCAGUCACGAGGGGACAAGCACUGUGAUUCCACUUACAUGAGGUCCCUAAGGUGGACAAGUUUGUAGACAGUAGGACAGCGGGUGCCAGAGACUGGGGGAGGGGAGAGGAGCUGGGGUUUCAUGGGGACGGAGUUUCAGUCUUACAAGAU